rnacentral:tRNA from 1 species
GCGGCUGUGGCGGAAUUGGUAGACGCGAUGCGUUCAGGUCGCAUUGUUCGAAAGGACGUGGGGGUUCGAGUCCCUCCAGCCGCA